rnacentral:rRNA from 1 species
AAUUUUCGACAAUGGGGGCAACCCUGAUCCAGCCAUGCCGCGUGUGUGAAGAAGGUCUUCGGAGUGUAAAGCACUUUAAGUUGGGAGGAAGGGCUUUAGGUUAAUACCCUGAAGUUUUGACGUUACCAACAGAAUAAGCACCGGCUAACUCGGUGCCGGCAGCCGCGGUAAUACAGAGGGUGCAAGCGUUAAUCGGAAUGACUGGGCGUAAAGCGCGCGUAGGUGGUUCAGUAAGAUGGGUGUGAAAUCCCCGGGCUUAACCUGGGAACUGCUUUCAUAACUGCUGAGCUAGAGUACAGUAGAGGGUAGUGGAAUUUCCUGUGUAGCGGUGAAAUGCGUAGAGAUAGGAAGGAACACCAGUGGCGAAGGCGACUACCUGGACUGAUACUGACACUGAGGUGCGAAAGCGUGGGGAGCAAAC